rnacentral:rRNA from 1 species
CCUACGGGAGGCAGCAGUGAGGAAUAUUGGUCAAUGGACGGAAGUCUGAACCAGCCAUGCCGCGUGCAGGAUGACGGCUCUAUGAGUUGUAAACUGCUUUUGUACGAGAAUAAGAGUUCUUACGUGUAGGGAUUUGAAUGUAGCGUACGAAUAAGGAUCGGCUAACUCCGUGCCAGCAGCCGCGGUAAUACGGAGGAUUCGAGCGUUAUCCGGAUUUAUUGGGGUUAAAGGGUGCGUAGGCGGGCGGAUAAGGUAGAGGUCAAAGGUCGGGGCUUAACCCCGUGCCUGCCUCUGAUACUGUUCGACUAGAGCGCGGAUGCAGCAGGCGGCAUGCGUUGUGUAGCGGU